GACCAAUCUUGCAAAUAUGCGAGACCGUUUUCAGUGGCAACCAUAGCAUUUUGCGCAAUUCACAAACAGCUGGAAGCGUCUAUUUGGUGUUUGAAAAGAAAUGGAAGCGAAAAAUAGAUUAAUGCUAAACGGCACAUUUCGUUGGGCUGAAAGCCAAACGAAAGACCUUUUGAUAAAUAUAGUGGACGCAAUCAAAGAGAAUCCGGACCAUUUUGAGAAACCAACAGCCCAAAGGAAUUUGAAAAAGAGAGAGAGGAAAACAAUUUUCAAUUGCAGAAAUUACGGUUGGAGAAAGAAAUGGAAAAAGUCAGAUUGGAACACGAACGAUUGAAAAGCUUAAAUAGCUCAUAACUUACCAAAAUGUAAUAAUUUGUAUUCCAAUAUAAGAUUUUUUCCAUUUUGACUUUUUCUUCUUAAUACAUUUGUUGGUUUGUUUUACUUAUAGUGACUUAGUGAAUAUGGUCCACCUUGCUUUUUUUUACUUUAUCCGUAUUAACAGUUAUUUCUAGUCAAAUAAUUUAUAUUACUUGUUUAUGUAAAGAAAUUGAAUUUUAUUUGAAAAAAUAAAUAAGAAAAUAAUUUUUAUAUAAAGAUAUUUAUUGAUUAAACAAUAGUUCAGAAAUUUGUCGUCGCCUUAUCUCCCCUUCAUUGGUACGAGCAUUUGGUUCCCAUAACGACUCGUCAAUACUGUGCUCCGAUUCCUCAGGUUGGUAAUCGAAAUAAUCGUCUUGUUGGAGUAUAAAGUUGUGUAACAAUGCACAACAGAGAAUCCAUACCAUUUUCAUUUUUUAUUUGGAGCCUUAAGCCUUUUAAACUACCAAAUGUUCAAUUCGAAUUCUAUAUCGGCUGAAUUUUUUGUUAGUGUUAAAUUUUUAGAAUUUUCUCGAGAUGGCAUUAUAACAGUUCUCGAUAAUUUAUAUGCAUUGUCUCCAAAAAAUUUAUGUGCUUCAGUUGACAAUUCGCUGUACGAACAAUACGUGCAUCAUGAACGCUACCUGGAAAUCCUAACAUAAAGUACCUUAAUUUUAAUUUAUGAUCGCACACGGCUUGUGCCUUAACGGAGUAAAUAUGUUUUCGUGAAAAGUACGCUUCUGGGUCCUGUGACGGGUUUUCCGCCAAUUGAAUUUCGGUACCAUCAACGUAUCCUGUGCAGUUAGGUAACUCACUCGAUGUUUCUAAAACGUUCUUCCGUAUUUGGUCAACAACAGCGCAUUAAAUAUUCGUUCAGUGAAAUUCUAAAAUUUAAAAACAUGUUAAUGUAUUAUGAGGAAAACUGACGAAUUCUGACCUGAUUGAUACCACCAUCACUGAUUCCAAAUAAACCUGUAAUCUUCGAAAGAGUAGCUCCUUCACCGCUGGAACCUAAGCGAUACAACACAAUUGCCAGUUGCGUUUUAAUUGGAAAUUGUUUGCACAACCGAGUUUUGUUGAAAAGAUUGUCUCCCUUUAUUAGAUCCAAAAUAGCAUCGAAAGUUUUCCAAGUGACACGUGUGAUCUUCUUGAAUCGGUUUUCAUCAGGUUCCCAUAAGAUUUCAUUUAAAAAUAUCCUAGAUUUCGGUACACUAUUUUGAAUAAAUUGUACGCUGUAUCUGCAUUCUUCGCCUAAAGUCAAUACAUACAUUAGGUCCUCCAUUAUUUAAUCUUCUUUACUUGUCCUCUCUUCUGCAAAACAAAACAUGUAGUCAUUUAAAACAAAACCAAUUUAAUUUAAAUACAUAAAUGUAUAUAUGUGCAUGGGGUUGUAUGUGAGUACGUAAAAUCAAAUUCAAAUGUAUCUACUGUUUGAGUAUUUUGAAAAAUUAUCUAUCGUAGUAGGUCAUUCAAAAUUAUAAAAUGAAAAACAAGCUUCCACACAACUUUCAAAAAUGCGCAAUUUCAGUUGAAAUUCAAAGUUCGUCGAGGCACUACGGCACUACACUCACUAAUAUUACAUGGGAAAGAAAAUUUGCAGUAUAGCGAAUAUCGAAAAUGUGUGAACUAUAUUGUUUCGAUUAACAUCUAAGGCAAACGCAAUACUGCAAGUUUUUCUUCCAAUGGAAUGCUAGUGAGGACCUCGCACUAGCUUUGAAUUUCAACAGGGGUGUAAUUUAGGUCGCCUCCGCGCGGUGCACCCUGGAUAACGCAAAAUGGCCUUCCUCGGCUUCCUCCGGCGGGUACUGCAUCGAACACUUUCAGGGCUGGAGUGUUUUCGUCCAUUCGGACAACAUGACCUAGCCAGCGUAGCCGCUGUCUUUUUAUUCGCUGAACUAUGUCAAUGUCGUCGUAUAACUCGUACAGCUCAUCGUUCCAUCGUCUGCGGUAUUCGCCGUUGCCAAUGUUCUGAGGACCAUAAAUCUUGCGCAAAAUUUUCCUCUCGAAAACUCCUAGUGUCGUCUCAUCUGAUGUUGACAUCGUCCAAGCUUCUGCACCGUAAAGCAGGACGGGAAUGAUAAGCGACUUGUAGAGCUUGAUUUUGGUUCGUCGAGAGAGGACUUUACUGUUCAAUUGCCUACUCAGUCCAAAGUAGCACCUGUUGGCAAGAGUUAUUCUGCGCUGGAUUUCGAGGCUGACAUUGUUCGUGCUGUUGAUGCUGGUUCCCAGGUAUACGAAAUUAUCUACGACCUCGAAGUUAUGACUGUCAACAGUGACGUGGGAGCCAAGACGCGAAUGCGCAGACUGUUUGUUUGAUGACAGGAGAUAUUUCGUCUUGUCCUCAUUCACCUCCAGACCAAUUCGCUUCGCCUCCUUAUCCAUGCGGGAAAAAGCAGAACAAACGGCGCGGUUGUUGCUUCCGAUGAUAUCAAUAUCAUCGGCGUACGCAAGGACGACGAGCGGUAAAUCAAUAUAAGCGAACGAAAUGGGUAAAUCAUCUGAAAUCUGUCAAAUCCCAAAUUUCAACAUGAUGACCGUGUUGAAAUUCCAUUCGCUGGUCAUGCGUACUCAGAUCCGAAGAAGUACGCGAGCUAUUUAAGUCGGAAAUUUAUACUGCACGCUUCGGUGGAUAAGGUGAAAAUAUGUGUUACCCGGCGUCUGCGCAAAAUGCUAAAAGACUGCGGACCACUUACCUUCACCAGCGGUGAGGUUGCAGUUGUCAUCAAAAACAGUAUAAACAUGUUGAUGCUGAAACACUUUUGCUCGGCGGUACAGAGCAGCAACAAAAACCUCAAGUCGCUAGCCGGCAGCAAAUGGGGUAAAUACAAAAAAACGUUGUUGGCAACUUACUAGGCAAUCGGCCGGCCGGUCCUAAACUACGCAGCUAACGCAAUGGGGAAGUUUCAGACUUGUCAAUACACCGCUCUCCGGGCAGCUACAGUUUGCCUCUUUGUGUCUCUGGUCGAGAACCUGCACAAUGCGGCCCGUAUGCUACCUGUCAAGGAGGACAACGAAAUGCUCUCCAAAAAGUAUUUGUUGGGAUGCUAAUUGAAUAAUACUUCAAUAAAUCACUUGCCCUUUUGGGUUACGUAGGCUGGAAGAAGUUUCAGCUGUCACAGUAUUAAAACGGUAAUUGUGCACAGAUGAGGUGAACGUGGGGAGUGUGACGAGUUUGUGAUGUCAUCUAAUUUUGCCCGACAAUCGGAUUACUAACUUAUGACUUAUUCACCGUUAAGUGCAAUGUAUGUUAUGGGCAAAAGUAGUUUCCAGCUCCGUCAAAGUCCAUGAUUUAAAUGUUUCCAUAAAAACAGCAGCAUUAAACAUAUCCCAAGUAAUUUUGAGGAAUGCUGCCGAUUUGAAAGCGCUUUGCCAGAUAAAAAUGCGUGUCCGUCCCGGCUACGUAGAACCGACUGUCGUGGGUAGGGUACAAUCGGUGCUUAUGCUACUCUGGUUGGAUUGUUGUUUUAUAGUUGUACCAAUGUUUUCAAUGCCUUUAGUUGCUCUAUCGACUUCGUAUACUGAUGGUGAUUUAACAAUUUCAUAAGGGAUCGCCCCACGCGUACGGCGUCGAGUGCUAAGCAUUAUGGAUGUUGGUAUAGGAAAAAUUUGCUUACUCAAGAUACGUGUCUUACGCUAGCUGAAAACCGGUACGAUUGCGGUAACAGGUGAAGCAAUAGUUGCACUUCAUUGAUCCAAAAUUUAAUUUGUGUUCGAGUUUUUUUAUAUAAAUAUACACGUUUCCUCCUACCACUGGCCAUUUCUAUUAGUUUCUGUUAGCUUGAUUACAUCGCCUAUAUCUCGUAUCGGACAAUAUACAAAGUCAAAGACAUCGAACAUGAGGGGCAGGCUCAUUAGUUGUGGGCAUUUCAUUUACCGAAAAUAUUGGUAAAUCUUACAGAUAUUCUAAAGAAAAUCAGAAGUGGUCUUUAUAAUUAUGAGCCUCCGUGCUGAAAAUUUGGCAAAAAAGGUCAAUACUUCAUCUAGUCUCUAGCCUUAAAUAUUAGUAUUUCACUUAUCUGGCAACAAUGCGUUAAUUAUUCGUCGAUUCGAUUUAUAUAAGACUGUUAGUAUAUGUACAUGUACAUAAGUACUUUAUCUAAAAUUAAAAUGCUCCCACUGUUUGACUAUUUUGGAAAGUUGGCUAUUCAAAAUUAAGCCCAUCGUAUUUUUGAACAACCAAUAAUUAGAUAUAUGGGAGCUAGGGGAAGUUAAGACCUCUUUUGGGGGCAUGGCAAUGGACCGAUAUCGCUCAUUUUCAAUACCAACCCCCUCAGGAUGCCAAGGAAUAUAUGUAUGUUCCAAGUUUCGUCAAGAUAUCUUCAUUUUUACUCAAGUUAUUCGUUGCACGGACAGACAGACAUCUGGAUUUCAACUCGUCAUCCUGAUCAUUUUUAUAUAUAUAACCCUAUAUCUAACUCAUUUAGUUUUAUGACUUACAAACAACCGUUAUGUGGAUAAAACUAUAAUACUCUCUUAGCAACUUUUGUUGCGAGAGUAAAAAAAUAUAAGCUAUAAAAAAUUAAUUUCACAAUAAUUGUACUCAUUUAACGUCGUAAACGUAAUUCGCAAUAUCGUAAAACAGCUGCUAAUUUUUACAUGCAUUUUAUUUUACGACAAUCUUGCAAAUAUGCGAUACCGUUUUCAGUGGCAACCAUAGCAUUUUGCGCAAUUCACAAACAGCUGGAAGCGUCUAUUUGGUGUUUGAAAAGAAAUGGAAGCGAAAAAGAGAUUAAUGCUAAACGGCACAUUUCGUUGGGCUGAAAGUCAAACGAAAGACCUUUUGAUAAAUAUAGUGGACGCAAUUAAAGAGAAUCCGGACCAUUUUGAGAAACCAACAGCAUAAAGGAAUUUGAAAAAGAGAGAGAGGAAAACAAUAUUCAAUUGCAGAAAUUACGGUUGGAGAAAGAAAUGGAAAAAGUCAGAUUGGAACACGAACGAUUGAAAAGCUUAAAUAGCUCAUAACUUACCAAAAUGUAAUAAUUUGUAUUCCAAUAUAAGAUUUUUUCUAUAUUGACUUUUUCUUCUUAAUACAUUUGUUGGUUUGUUUUACUUAUAGUGACUUAGUGAAUAUGGUCCACCUUGCUUUUUUUUACUUUAUCCGUAUUAACAGUUAUUUCUAGUCAAAUAAUUUAUAUUACUUGUUUAUGUAAAGAAAUUGAAUUUUAUUUGAAAAAAUAAAUAAGAAAAUAAUUUUUAUAUAAAGAUAUUUAUUGAUUAA